rnacentral:lncRNA from 1 species
AUGGAUCGCAAUAGCCACGCCGCAUUUUGGUCUGACUCUCCUUCACAUAAAGAAAACCGUUACAGAAUCACCCACCACAACAGGACCAAGCGGCGUGGUAACGGGCAGCAGCAGGAGCAGCGCGAUAAAAACUUCUGGACUUGGGAGGAAAUCCUCAAUGGGAGAGGACCCUGGGCAAAACCAGGGGAGUGUCGCCGUCCCAAGGUGCGGCAGCAGGAGCAGCGCGAGGAGGACUGGACAUGGGAGGACGAAUUAGACGGAAGAGGACCCUGGGCUCAGCCAGGAGAAUAUCGCCGCCCCAAAGAAGAACUGGAGGCGGCGAAAGCGGAGAGGCGCUGGUAUGAGGAGGCAGCACGGCGACGCGGAUGGAAGCCUGAGAGUCAGCCCCAAAAAUGUCUUGGGGGGGGAGGGCUCACAGGGAGUAUGGCUACGCCAGGUAAGAGACCUGCGCAAACUUCCUGUGCUUACCGGGGGGCUAGAGAGACCGGGCAGGCACCGUGUUAUGCUGUGGUGCGCACGGUGUCUCCAGUGCGGGUGCAUAGCCCGGUGCGGUACAUUCCAGCUCCGCAUAUCGGCCGGGCUAGAGUGAGCAUCGAGCCAAGUGCCAUGAAGCCGGCUCUACGCAUCUGGUCCCCAGUGCGUCUCCUUGGGCCGGCUUACAUGGCACCAGCCUUGCGCUCGGUGUCUCCGGUUCACCUGCAUAGCCCAGUGCGGGCUAUUCCACCUCGCCGCACUGGCAGGGCGACCGGGAGUAUUCAACCAGGUAAGGUUGGGCAGGCUCGGUGCUCAAGAGCUCCAGUGCGCCUGCACGGUCCGGUCUAUCCAGUACCACCUCCACGCAUCAGCCCUCCGGUGGCAGCUCCCCGCACCAGGCUUCCUGUGCGUGUUCUCGGCCCAGUACCACCAGUGCCAGCACCACGCAUCAGGCCUACAGUGCGCCUCGCCUGUCCAGCGCUGUCAGAGCCUUCCUCCUCUCCAGCGCUGCCGGAGUCUCCCGCCUAUCUAGCGCUGCCAGAGCCUUCCGCCUCUACAGCGCUGCCGGAGUCUCCCACCUGUUCAGCGCAGUUGGAGCCUUCCUCCUCUCCAGCGCUGCCGGAGUCUCCCGCCUGUUUAGCGCUGCCAGAGCCUUCCGUCUCUACAGCGCUGCCGGAGUCUCCAGUCUGCAUAGAGCUGCCAGUCUACAAAGAGCUGCCAGUCUGCAAGGAGCUGCCAGUCUGCAAGGAGCUGCCAGUCUGCAAGGAGCUGCCAGUCUGCAUAGAGCUGCCAGUCAGCAUGGAGCAGCCAGAGCUGCCAAUCUGCAAGGAGCCGCCAGAGCUGCCAGUCUGCAAGGAGCCGCCAGAGCCGCUAGUCUGCAAGGAG